GGACGUCCAAGGAUGUUCAAUGAACUGAGAGGGGAAGAAUUGGUUCUUGGGAACUGCUGCAGGGAGCCUUGUUUGGAGAGAGUAUGGCCCUGGAGUGGACCCUCAGCACAUUGCAGUUUUUCUCUGGACCUAGUCUGGGAAGACAUGGUCUUAGCAAAGACACAAGUGGUUUGCGGCCAAAGAAAGUGCAAACAACUUGAUAAUGUGCCAUCACCGAUAUCCACCAGCACCCCGAGAAGAAACAAGCUACUCAGUGACGAUGUAAGAAUAGCCCAACAGCGACUGAGUCAAACCUGGGAAAACAGGAGAAGUUGUGGGUCCUGACUCCUCACAGUCUUGAAUUGGUAUCAUGCUGGUACUGUGAAGAAAGGGGUAUAAAAGAGGAGUCAGAAGAGAAGACAGAUGUCCUGGGCCGGGGGACAUGCACAGUGUCGAAAGUUUGUGGGAAAACAGCCUGACCAGAGUGGACAUCAGCAGGAAAUGAGGCUGGGUAAGGAGUGUAAAGCCACAUUUUGGAGAGUCUUAGAAACCCCACUGAGAUGAGACUUGUCACAAUUGUGUUGUUAUGAGUAGAGAAGAGACAUGAUGUGGUGGGGUUGGGGAGAUGAGGAGGAAUGAACAGAGGGCCCAGACAGGAGCUUUGGGAAAGCCCCGCUCCUGGAAGGUGAGAGGAGGAGGGUCGAUGUGUGUGUAUCUUGUCCCAUAACUGAUUUCCUCCCUGCAGUUAGAGAGGAGGUCAUAUGAUGAUGGUAAAGACAAGAGGUUAGGAUUGAGGGCUCGAGAGAAGGUUGUUCAGUUCAAUUCUACAAAACGUUUUUGAGCUUCUGCUCUGGACUGGCCACAAUGCUAGGUGUUAGGAAUACAAAGAUGGAUAAAAUAUGGCCUCUCUCCUCAAGAAGCUUCCAGUCUUGCAGCAAUCAAUAAGAAAAAGAAUUUUUUUUUUUUUUUAACGAGCUAGCAGCACAAGUCAGGCUUGAUCUCUUACUUGACUGAGUAUUGAGACUUGGAAGUCUAGUAUGCCAAGGUGGGAGGUGGGGACAGUGUAUCAUGGAGGCCAGGGUGGUGUUGACAUGACAUUGCAGAGUGAGCUAAUGGCAGGAGCUGGAUGAUUAGAGAUCCCAGGGAAACAGCAAGCUCCAUAUAUGCAGGGGGGUGGGAGAGGCUGGUGUGUAAGAAGGUUGUGGUGAGAUUCAGUGUACAUUCCAGGAUCUCAUGGUGAGGUCCAGGGAGUGACUAUGCAGAUGCACUCCUACUCUGGAAUGGGGAUGGAGGUCAAGAACCAGAGCAAGUGAAGAAUCUUGAGAUCCAAGAGUGGGAUGAGUUGUUAAUGGACAAUUACA
rnacentral:lncRNA from 1 species